rnacentral:rRNA from 1 species
UACAGAGGGGGCAAGCGUUAUUCGGAAUUAUUGGGCGUAAAGGGCGCGUAGGCGGCUUUGCAAGUGGCGGGUGAAAUCCCUCGGCUUAACCGAGGAACUGCCUGUCAAACUGCGUGGCUUGAGACCAGGAGAGGUGAGUGGAAUUCCCAGUGUAGCGGUGAAAUGCGUAGAUAUUGGGAGGAACACCAGUGGCGAAGGCGGCUCACUGGACUGGUACUGACGCUGAGACGCGAAAGCGUGGGGAGCGAACAGG